rnacentral:lncRNA from 1 species
UUCUUUUUUUUUUUUUUUUUUUUUUUUUUUCUUUUUUUUUUUCCCCCUUUUUUUUCUCUUUCUCUUUUCUUUCCUUCUUUCUUCCUCUCUUUUCUCUUUUUCCAAUACAACUUGCUUUUGGCCACUCUGCACUGAGCAAAUGACUAGAAGGAAAACCCCCACCUCAAAAGAAAGGAAUCAAAAAACAGUCCCCUCUCCCACAGAGUUACAAAAUCUGGAUUACAAUUCAAUGUCAGAAAGCCAAUUCAGAAGCACUUUAUACAGCUACUGGUGGCUCUAGAAAAAAGUAUAAAAGGACUCAAGAGACUUCAUGACUGCAGAAUUUAGAGCUAAUCAGGCAAAAAAUUAAAAAUCAAUUGAUGAGAUGCAAUCCAAACUAGAAGUCCAAAACGACGAGGGUUAACGAGGUGGAAGAACGAGUGAGUGACCUAGAAGACAAGUUGAUAGCAAAGAGGGAACUGAGGAAAAAAGAGCCCAAAAAAAUUAAAAGACCAUGAAGAUAGAUUAAGGGAAAUAAACGACCGCCUGAGGAAAAAAAAACCUACGUUUAAUUGGGGGUUUCCCCAGGGCGCCGAAAGGGACAGAGGGCCAGAAUAUGUAUUUGAACAAAUUCUAGCUGAAAACUUUCCUAAUCUGGGAAGGGAAACAGGCAUUCAGAUCCGGAAAUAGAGAGAUCCCCCCCUAAAAUCAAUAAAAACCGUUCAACACCUCGACAUUUAAUUGUGAAGCUUGCAAAUUCCAAAGUAAGGGAAGAUCCUUAAAGCACAAGAGACAAGAAAUCCCUGACUUUUAUGGGGAGGAGUAUUAGGGUUAAAAAGCAGACCUCUCCACAGAGACCUGGAGGCCAGGGAAAGGCUGGCAGGAUAUAUUCAGGGUCCUAAAUGAGAAGAACAUGCAACCCAAAAAUACUUUAUCCAGCAAGGCUCUCAUUCAAAAUGGAAGGAGAGAUAAAGGCUUCCAAGACAGGCAGCAACUAAAAGAAAAUGUGACCUCCAAACCAGCUCUGCAAGAAAUUUUAAGGGGGACUCUUAAAAUUCCCCUUUAAGAAGAAGUUCAGUGGAACAGUCCACAAAAACAAAGACUGAAUAGAUUCAUGAUGACACUAAAACUCAUAUCUCUCAAUAGUAACUCUGAAUGUGAACGGGCUUAAUGACCCCAUCAAAAGGCACAGGGUUUUAGACUGGAUAAAAAAGCAGGACCAUCUAUUUGCUGUCUACAAGAGACUCAUUUUGACAGAAGGACACCUACAGCCUGAAAAUAAAAAAGGUUUGGGGAACCAUUUACCAUUCGAAUGGUCCUCAAAAGAAAGCAGGGGUUUUGCCAUCCUUAUAUCAGAUUUAAAAUAAAAUUUCCCCCAAAGACUGUAGUGAGAGAUGAAGAGGGACACUUUAAAAUACUUAAAGGAUCUAUUCAACAAGAGGACUUAACAAUCCUCAAUAUAUAUGCUCCGAAUGGGAGCUGCCAAAUAUAUAAAUCAAUUAUUAACCAAAGUGAAGAAAUACUUAGAUAAUAAUACACUUAUACUUGGUGACUUCAAUCUAGCUCUUUCUAUACUCGAUAGGUCUUUUCAGCAAAACAUCUCCAAAGAAACGAGAGCUUUAAAUGAUACACUGGACCAGAUGGAUUUCACAGAUAUCUACAGAACUUUACAUCCAAACUCAACUGAAUACACAUUCUUCUCAAACGCACAUGGAACUUCUCCAGAAUAGACCACAAUUGGUCACCAAAUCGGGUCUGAACCGAUACCAAAGAUUGGGAUUGUCCCCUGCAUAUUCUCGGGCCAUAAUGCCUUGAAAUUAGAACUAAAUCACAACAAGAAGUUUGGAAGGACCUCAAACAAAAUGGAGGUUAAGGACCUCCUGCUAAAAGAUAAAAGGGUCAACCAGGAAAUUAAGGAAGAAUUAAAAAGAUUCCCUGGAAACUAAUGAGAAUGAAGAUACAACCGUUCAAAAUCUGGGAUGCAGCAAAAGCAGUCCUAAGGGGGAAAUACAUCGCAAUACAAGCAUCCAUUCAAAAACUGGAAAGAACUCAAUACAAAGCUAACCAUACACAUAAAGGAGCUAGAGAAAAAAACAGCAAUAGAUCCUACACCCAAAAGAAGAAGGGAGCUAAUAAAGAUUCGAGCAGAACUCAAGAAAUCGAGACCAGAAGAACUGUGGAAAGAUCAACAGAACCAGGAGUUGGUUCUUUGAAAGAAUUAAUAAGAUAGAUAAAACCUUAGCCAGCCUUAUUAAAAAGAAGAGAGAGAAGACUCAAAUUAAUAAAUCAUGAAUGAGAAAGGAGAGAUCACUACCAACACCAAGGAAAUACAAACGAUUUUAAAAACAUAUUAUGAACAGCUAUACGCCCCUAAAUUAGGCAAACUAGAAGAAAUGGACGCAUUCCUGGAAAGCCACAAAAUACCAAAACUGGAACAGGAAGAAAUAGAAAACCUGAAAAAGGCCCAAUAACCAGGGAGGAAAUUGAAGCAGUCAUCAAAAACCUCCCAAGACACAAGAGUCCAGGGCCAGUGGCUUCCCAGGGAAUUUUAUCAAACGUUUAAAGAAGAAAUCAUACCUAUUCUCCAAAAGCUGUUUGGAAAAGAUAGAAAGAGAUGGAGUAUUUCCCCAAAUUCGUUCUAUGAAGCGAGCAUCCCCUUUAAUUCCAAAGCCAGACAAGACCCCGCCAAAAAGGAGAAUUACAGACCAAUAUCCCUGUUUGAACAUGGAUGCAAAAUUCUCAACAAGAUACUGGCCAAAUAGGAUCCAAAAAGUACAUUAAGAAAAUUAUUCACCAUGACCAUAGGAUUUAUCCCUGGGACACAAGGCUGGUUCAAACACCCUUUAAACAAUCAAUGUGAUUCUUUCCUAUCAGCAAGAGAAAAAACAGAACCAUAUGAUCCUCUCAUUGGAUGCAGAGAAAGCAUUUGACCAAAAUACAGCAUCCAUUCCUGAUCAAAACUCUUCAGAGUGUAGGGAUAGGGGGAACAUUCCUCGACAUCUUAAAGCCAUCUAUGAAAAGCCCACAGAAAAAUAUCAUUCUCAAUGGGGAAAGCACGGGGAGCCUUUCCCCUAAGAUCGGGAACAAGACAGGGUGUUCCACUCUCACCACUGCUUUUCAACAUAGUACUGGAAUUCCUAGCCUCAGCAAUCAGACAACAAAAAGACAUUAAAGGCAUUCAAAUUGGCAAAGAAAAGUCAAACUCUCCCUCUUCGCCGAUGACAUGAUACUCUACAUAGAAAACCAAAAGUCUUCCCCCCCAAGAUUUCUAGAAACUCAUACCAGCAUUUGGUAGCGUGGCAGGAUACAAAUCAAUGCCAGAAGUCCAGUGGCAUUUUAUACACUAACAAUGAGACUGAAGAAAGAGAAAUUAGGAGUCAAUCCCAUUUAAAUUGCACCCAAAGCAUAAGAUACCUAGGAAUAAACCUCACCAAAGAUGUAAAGGAUCUAUUUCCUCAAAACUAUAGGGAAAACUUCUGAAAGAAAUUGAGGAAGACACAAAGAGAUGGAAAAAUAUUCCCUGCUCAUGGAUUGGCAGAAUUAAUAUUGCGAAAAUGUCAAUGUUACCCAGGGCAAUAUACCGUUUAAUGCAAUCCCUAUCAAAAUACCAUGGACUUUCUUCAGAGAGUUAGAACAAAUUAUUUUUAAGAUUUGUGUGGAAUCAGAAAAGACCCCGAAUAGCCAGGGGAAUUUUAAAAAAAGAAACCAUAUCUGGGGGCAA